UACAGAGGGGGCAAGCGUUGUUUGGAAUUACUGGGCGUAAAGGGCGCGUAGGCGGGAUGGCAAGUCGGUCGUGAAAUCCCUCGGCUCAACCGAGGAACGUCGAUCGAUACUGCUGUUCUUGAGGAUUGCAGAGGAGACUGGAAUUCCCGGUGUAGCGGUGAAAUGUGUAGAGAUCGGGAGGAACACCGGUGGCGAAGGCGGGUCUCUGGGCAAUUCCUGACGCUGAGGCGCGAAAGCGUGGGGAGCAAACGGG
rnacentral:rRNA from 1 species